CAAUAGCGUAUAUUUAAGUUGUUGCAGUUAAAAAGCUCGUAGUUGGAUUUCGGGUGGGACGCAGCGGUCUCGCAUUGCGUUUGUACUGCUGCAGCCCUCCUUCUUGCCGGGGGCGGCCUCUCGGACUUCACUGUCUGGGGGUCAGAAUCGGCGAUGUUACUUUGAGUAAAUUAGAGUGUUCAAAGCAAGCUUACGCUCUGAAUAUAAUAGCAUGGGAUAACACGACAGGACUCUGGCCUAUCGUGUUGGUCCAUAGGACCAGAGUAAUGAUUAAGAGGGACAGUCGGGGGCAUUCGUAUUCCGUUGUCAGAGGUGAAAUUCUUGGAAUUACGGAAGACGAACAUCUGCGAAAGCAUUUGCCAAGGAUGUUUUCAUUGA
rnacentral:rRNA from 1 species